rnacentral:rRNA from 1 species
AGAGGGUGCAAGCGUUAAUCGGAGUUACUGGGCGUAAAGGGCGCGUAGGCUGAUAUUUUAGUCGGAUGUGAAAUCCCUGGGCUUAACCUAGGAAUUGCAUUCGAUACUGAAUGUCUUGAGUAUGGUAGAGGAAAGUGGAAUUCUCGGUGUAGUGGUUAAAUACGUAGAUAUCGAGAAGAACAUCGCUGGCGAAGGCGACUUUCUGGGCCAAUACUGACGCUGAGGCGCGAAAGCGUGGGGAGCAAACAGGGAUUAGAUACCCUGGUAGUCCACGCUGUAAACGAUGAGAACUAGAUGUUGCGCAGUUAUUACUGUGCAGUAUCGCAGCUAACGCAUUAAGUUCUCCGCCUGGGGAGUACGGUCGCAAGAUUA